AGCUAUACUGACUCGGAUCUCCUGACUGAAGGACGGUUCCAUAUCAAGACUGCCCGGCCAUAUCUCUCGUAUGUGUACGCGGAGACGAAUCCGACGCGCGGUGCGAUAGGAUCC
rnacentral:rRNA from 1 species